AUUGAACGCUGGCGGCAGGCCUAACACAUGCAAGUCGAGCGGAGCGGCGGACGGGUGAGUAAUGCCUAGGAAUCUGCCUGGUAGUGGGGGAUAACGUCCGGAAACGGGGCUAAUACCGAAAACUUUCAGGUGGAGCCAGGGUGGAUUAGCUAGUUGGUGGGGUAAAGGCCUAACAAGGCGACGAACCGUAACUGGUCUGAGAGGAUGAUCAGUCAAACUGGAACUGAGACACGGUCCAGACUCCUACGGGAGGCAGCAGUGGGGAAUAUUGGACAAUGGGCGAAAGCCUGAUCCAGCCAUGCCGCGUGUGUGAAGAAGGUCUUCGGAUUGUAAAGCACUUUAAGUUGGGAGGCGUUACCAACAGAAUAAGCACCGGCUAACUUCGUGCCAGCAGCCGCGGUAAUUC
rnacentral:rRNA from 1 species